CUAGCGCCUGGACUUCUUUAAUAAAUGAUUAUUAAAAAGUUGACGAGGUCUAGAGUUAUCGAAAGAUUCGGCGGAUACUCUAGUGGUAUGUUACUACCAUAAACUAAAUCAAAAAAUAGUAGAAAUACUUUUAACAAAUUUUAGU
rnacentral:ncRNA from 1 species